UGCAACAAAGUUGAUUGAAAAUAUGGGGUUGAGUAAGGAGGUAAAUGGUUCAUCAGAAUAUGGAGGUGAAGAUGAGAAUGGGACGACUUUCAAUGACACUGAUCGAGCCGACACUGAUGACAACGACGAUAAUAAACCAGAGCAUCCUGGUGAAGUGUCAAAAUACGAAAGAAAUCUGGAACUUCUUAACAUCAUGACACACUCCAUUUUUUUGAGUUUUCUGUUAGGAGCACGCUCUCUCUCUCUCUCUCUCUCUCUCUCUCUCUCUCUCUCAUGUGUAUUGUGUAGAAUAUACGUACAGAAAUUUCUUAGCUUAGUUUGCAUGUCAGGGUUGAUCUGUUAUCUAGUUACAGUAUAGCCUAGUUGAUUUUGUGUAGUAUCACCAGAUGGUGCAUUUUUCGACUCUCAUUCAUAACCGUAUCUCAUUUUUUGUGCGAAUUGGACUUCAUUUCUAUUUUUUUUUUCCUUCUUGUUUUUUUUGGAUAGUGCUUUGAGCCCCACAUUUCAGGCUAUUGUCUGUAAUCUUUAUGUUUCCGUUUCCAGUUUCUUUGGUAGCCUAGAAAAUUUUCUAGAAAGUAAUUCUUUGGUGUUAGAAGCUGAAGUGGUGAGCACUAUCUUUGAAACAAAAUUGAGGAUCGUUGAGCUGCUGGAUCGCUGAUUUUGUUAUCCAGUUUUGUUUAAUUGUUAUAUACAUGCAGUUUUAAUAUCGUCCUUUUAAGAUAUUUAAUUGUUUCUUGUGCCUAUACAGCAUCACCGGGCAUUUGUGGGGGAAGAUACUGUCUCUAGUUGAUCAUCUUUGAAGUUUUCAAAGACGGAAAAUUUCAUGAUCAGAGGUCUGUGCUUGCUAUGCCAGAAAAUGGUAUUGGCUUGUUUCUAGAUGUGAGCUUUUGCAUAUGUAGCAGCCCGAACUCCAGGAAGAGGAUCAGUUGGACUGAAGUUCACAAGAUAAUGUCAACAUCGACAUUACUGAUUAGGGGAAUGCACUUGACAGAUUGGCAAAGUUUGCCUUGUCAGAAAAAAAAUUUGUUUAUAAACUGGGCCAAGCUUUUGCUACUAUCGGUAUUGCGUCAUUAGGAAUAUGGAUGUCUUCUCUGCUUUCUGCAUGAGUUUUCAAGCCUGCUGACUUUGUAAAUAAAUCCUCAUUGAUUUCCAAUAUAUUGUGUCUAGAUAUAUUAUGUAAUUGUACAUGUAUCACAUCUUAUUCAUAUUAAUAAUGUGUCUCAGAAGAAUCUGAAAUGAUUGUCAUUUUUACAUUCAUUAAAGUACUGUAUCAACUAUGCUGCAAGGAUAG